rnacentral:rRNA from 1 species
CGGCUAACUCCGUGCCAGCAGCCGCGGUAAUACGGAGGAUGCGAGCGUUAUCCGGAUUUAUUGGGUUUAAAGGGUGCGUAGGCGGCCUGUUAAGUCAGCGGUGAAAUCUAGGAGCUUAACUCCUAAAUUGCCAUUGAUACUGGCGGGCUUGAGUGUAGAUGAGGUAGGCGGAAUGCGUGGUGUAGCGGUGGAAUGCAUAGAUAUCACGCAGAACUCCGAUUGCGAAGGCAGCUUACUAAGGUACAACUGACGCUGAAGCACGAAAGCGUGGGUAUCAAACAGGAUUAGAUACCCUGGUAGUCCACGCAGUAAACGAUGAUAACUGGGCGUAUGCGAUAUACAGUAUGCUCCUAAGCGAAAGCGUUAAGUUAUCCACCUGGGGAGUACGCCGGCAACGGUGAAACUCAAAGGAAUUGACGGGGGCCCGCACAAGCGGAGGAACAUGUGGUUUAAUUCGAUGAUACGCGAGGAACCUUACCCGGGAUUGAAAUGUAGAUGACCGCUCCUGAAAGGGAGUUUUCCUUCGGGACAUCUAUGUAGGUGCUGCAUGGUUGUCGUCAGCUCGUGCCGUGAGGUGUCGGCUUAAGUGCCAUAACGAGCGCAACCCCUGUCUACGGUUGCCAUCAGGUAAUGCUGGGAACUCCGUAGAGACUGCCGUCGUAAGGCGUGAGGAAGGUGGGGAUGACGUCAAAUCAGCACGGCCCUUACAUCCGGGGCGACACACGUGUUACAAUGGUAAGGACAAAGGGCAGCUACCUGGCGACAGGAUGCGAAUCUCUAAACCUUAUCACAGUUCGGAUCGGAGUCUGCAACUCGACUCCGUGAAGCUGGAUUCGCUAGUAAUCGCGCAUCAGCCAUGGCGCGGUGAAUACGUUCCCGGGCCUUGUACACACCGCCCGUCAAGCCAUGGGAGUCUGGAGUACCUAAAGUCCGUAACCGCAAGGGUCGGCCUAGGGUAAUACAGGUGACUGGGGCUAAGUCGUAACAAGGUAGCCGUACCGGAAGGUGCGGC